rnacentral:rRNA from 1 species
UACGUAGGAGGCGAGCGUUGUCCGGAGUUACUGGGCGUAAAGCGCACGCAGGUGGCCGGGUAAGUUGGCCGUGAAAGCUCCUGGCUUAACUGGGAGAGGUCGGUCAAGACUGCCGGGCUUGAGGUUGGGAGAGGGGUGUGGAAUUCCCGGUGUAGUGGUGGAAUGCGUAGAUAUCGGGAGGAACACCGGUGGCGAAGGCGGUUCUCUGGGCCUGUACUGACGCUGAGGAGCGAAAGCGUGGGGAGCGAACAGG